GGGGAAUCUUAGACAAUGGGCGCAAGCCUGAUCUAGCCAUGCCGCGUGAGCGAUGAAGGCCUUAGGGUUGUAAAGCUCUUUCGUGGGGGAAGAUAAUGACUGUACCCCAAGAAGAAGCCCCGGCUAACUCCGUGCCAGCAGCCGCGGUAAUACGGAGGGGGCUAGCGUUGUUCGGAAUUACUGGGCGUAAAGCGCACGUAGGCGGACCGGAAAGUCAGAGGUGAAAUCCCAGGGCUCAACCUGGGAACUGCCUUUGAAACUCCCGGUCUUGAGUUCGAGAGAGGUGAGUGGAAUUCCGAGUGUAGAGGUGAAAUUCGUAGAUAUUCGGAGGAACACCAGUGGCGAAGGCGGCUCACUGGCUCGAUACUGACGCUGAGGGGCGAAAGCGUGGGGAACAAAC
rnacentral:rRNA from 1 species